UGAGGCGUUUUCUGUUUGAUGUUGUUUGGUUGUGUUUUUGUUGGUGAAGAAAAACCAAAUUAACAACACAAGGAGAUCUAGGGAAAAACAAUGAAAUCAACAACGGAACCAAAUCAUGCCAAAACCAAAUCAAUGAAAUCCAUGACAAAGGAGAUUUGUCUAUCAUGGUUUUGGGGUUAGAUCCUGGAUUUUGGUAUCGAU
rnacentral:lncRNA from 1 species